rnacentral:rRNA from 1 species
GACGAACGCUGGCGGCGUGCCUAAUACAUGCAAGUAGAACGCUGAAGGAGGAGCUUGCUUCUCCGGAUGAGUUGCGAACGGGUGAGUAACGCGUAGGUAACCUGCCUGGUAGCGGGGGAUAACUAUUGGAAACGAUAGCUAAUACCGCAUAACAGUAGGUGUUGCAUGACAUUUGCUUAAAAGGUGCAAUUGCAUCACUACCAGAUGGACCUGCGUUGUAUUAGCUAGUUGGUGAGGUAACGGCUCACCAAGGCGACGAUACAUAGCCGACCUGAGAGGGUGAUCGGCCACACUGGGACUGAGACACGGCCCAGACUCCUACGGGAGGCAGCAGUAGGGAAUCUUCGGCAAUGGACGGAAGUCUGACCGAGCAACGCCGCGUGAGUGAAGAAGGUUUUCGGAUCGUAAAGCUCUGUUGUAAGAGAAGAACGAGUGUGAGAGUGGAAAGUUCACACUGUGACGGUAUCUUACCAGAAAGGGACGGCUAACUACGUG